rnacentral:ncRNA from 1 species
CAACACUGCGCUCAUCGUGGUUCUGCGGAUCAAUGAUCUGGAGCUAAGAGGGAAUCCGGAGCGGUGCAGUGAUGUACCCAUGCCGGAGCUGCCCCCGCAACUGUAAGCAGCGAGCAGCCAUUCACCAUGUCACUGGGGAAGACGCCCCGGGAAGACGGAUGGCCGUGAUGACCUGCAAGCCAGGAGACCUGCCACGGUAGAUAACGUUCU